UUUUCAAUCUGUCUGCAACUAGCUGCCAAAACUUUUGGAUGAAUAGGGAAGAAUGCAGUCAAUCACCCAGAUGUUCCUUCCACAGGAGGCCAUGCACCCAGCUAUUUGGAAACAACCAGGUGCCCGGAACGUAAAGACAGCACAUCUGGAAUAGUCUCAGUCUUGGAUGCACAGAGGUAAUGGCGGGAUGUGAAGAAAGAAAACAGGACCAGAGAAUAAGAAAGGUGGACUGUUACCCAACCAUGGAAUAAAGGAAGGUCCAAAUUUAGAAGUAUCUGUGUAUUCAUUCAUUUUCAAGCAUUUAUUGAGUAUUCACUACAUGUCAGAUGCUGAUACAUCACUGAGAAUGCACAGAUAAAUAAGAUCCGGUCCCUAUCCUCAGGAGCCCAU